GGCAUUCGGGCCACCCCGGCCCCAGCACCAGCAUCAGCACCAGCGCGCCGACAAGCGGUGGAGCGUCCACCAGCCGCGGCGCUUCCGCUGGACCACCCGGACGCAGUGGAAGGGUCCUCGCGGAGGGGGUCCUGCAAUCGCAGGAAGAAAUCAUCAGGGGGAUCGCGGGGAUCAACGAGCGGCUGGACCGGCUCGUAAAUUUCCUCGAGCGUCUGGUGGAGAAAAUAAAUUAAUUUGGCUCAUUGAACUGUGUAUUCACUUCUUACCCAUUCACACUGUGGCGAUGAGAUUCUCCCGCGCGAGGACGGCGGCCCGGCAGGGAUCAGCUCACAUCCCUCCGUCUGCUGCUGGUUCGUCAUGUGGGGCGACGUGCUGCCCGGCCACGGGGAUGUGGUGCACGCUUGUCACAUAGUGAGUCACCAAACACCGCCACACAGCGUCGCCAAAGUGCAAAUCACAGUCAACGCAAAUAUCCAGCUCAACGCCAAUUUCUACACCACCUCCUGACUUUGCGUUGAUUAGCGCUGGAACCGACGCUCGUUUCGCGAUGAUAAAUCUGGACGUGUGCGCCGAUUUUGGCGUACGCAAGGUUUUCUUGCGCCGCAAGCGUUGAUACAUGAGGCCCCUGGUGUCCUCUCUAUAUAGUGAAGCUUGGUCACGGUGGGGGUGCCAUGUCAGGCUUGUGGCUUUGAUGAAAAAGGACAUUGUCAGUGCUCUUCCACGUUGUCCCCCAUAUCUCAAAAAAUACAACUUACUGUACAUGUACAAUGACACCUUUGUACACUACCGUAUCUUGCCAGUUUAGAGACCUCGUAUUUUGGCACACUGUAUUGCAGCCCUCCCAAAAAAGAUUCAUAUCCAAACUGAGGCCUUAAGAGCAACUGCUUUUAACACAACCUCAUUCGACUGCAUACAAAGAUAUAUCAAAUUCACAUAUGCUCUAGAAAAAACAUGACCAACUCCCUGGUGGUCUAGUGGUUAGGAUUCGGCGCUCUCACCGCCACGGCCCGGGUUUGAUUCCCGGUCAGGGAAUACACUCUUUGAACAUCUGGUGUCCUCUCUGUAUAGUGAAGCUUGGUCACGGUGGGGGUGCCAUGUCAGGCUUGUGGCUUUGAUGAAAAAGGACAUUGUCAGUGCUCUUCCACGUUGUCCCCCAUAUCUCAAAAAAUACAACUUACUGUACAUGUACAAUGACACCUUUGUACACUACCGUAUCUUGCCAGUUUAGAGACCUUGUAUUUUGGCACACUGUAUUGCAGCCCUCCCAAAAAAGAUUCAUAUCCAAACUGAGGCCUUAAGAGCAACUGCUUUUAACACAACCUCAUUCGACUGCAUACAAAGAUAUAUCAAAUUCACAGAUGCUCUAGAAAAAACAUGACCAACUCCCUGGUGGUCUAGUGGUUAGGAUUCGGCGUUUUCACCGCCGCGGCCCGGGUUCGAUUCCCGGUCAGGGAAUACACUCUUUGAACAUCUGGUGUCCUCUCUGUAUAGUGAAGCUUGGUCACGGUGGGGGUGCCAUGUCAGGCUUGUGGCUUUGAUGAAAAAGGACAUUGUCAGUGCCCUUCCACGUUGUCCCCCAUAUCUCAAAAAAUACAACUUACUGUACAUGUACAAUGACACGUUUGUACACUGUUGUAUCUUGCCGGUUUAGAGACCUUGUAUUUUGGCACACUGUAUUGCAGCCCUCCCAAAAAAGAUUCAUAUCCAAACUGAGGCCUUAAGAGCAACUGCUUUGAACACAACCUCAUUCGACUGCAUACAAAGAUAUAUCAAAUUCACAGAUGCUCUAGAAAAACCAUGACCAACUCCCUGGUGGUCUAGUGGUUAGGAUUCGGCGCUCUCACCGCCGCGGCCAGGUUUCGAUUCCCGGUCAGGGAAUACACUCUUUGAACAUCUGGUGUCCUCUCUGUAUAGUGAAGCUUGGUCACGGUGGGGGUGCCAUGUCAGGCUUGUGGCUUUGAUGAAAAAGGACAUUGUCAGUGCUCUUCCACGUUGUCACCCAAAUCUCAAAAAAUACAACUUACUGUACAUGUACAAUGACACCUAUGUACACUACUGUAUCUUGCCACUUUAGAGACCUCAUAUUUUGGCACACUGUAUUGCAGCCCUCCCAAAAAAGAUUCAUAUCCAAACUGAGGCCUUAAGAGCAACUGCUUUGAACACAACCUCAUUCGACUGCAUACAAAGAUAUAUCAAAUUCACAGAUGCUCUAGAAAACCCAUGACCAACUCCCUGGUGGUCUAGUUGUUAGGAUUCGGCGUUUUCACCGCAGCGGCCCGGGUUCGAUUCCCGGUCAGGGAAUACACUCUUUGAACAUCUGGUGUCCUCUCUGUAUAGUGAAGCUUGGUCACGGUGGGGGUGCCAUGUCAGGCUUGUGGCUUUGAUGAAAAAGGACAUUGACAGUGCUCUUCCACAUUGUCCCCCAUAUCUCAAAAAAUACAACUUACUGUACAUGUACAAUGACACCUUUGUACACUACCGUAUCUUGCCAGUUUAGAGACCUCAUAUUUUGGCACACUGUAUUGCAGCCCUUCCAAAAAAGAUUCAUAUCCAAACUGAGGCCUUAAGAGCAACUGCUUUGAACACAACCUCAUUCGACUGCAUACAAAGAUAUAUCAAAUUCAAAGAUGCUCUAGAAAAAACAUGACCAACUCCCUGGUGGUCUAGUGGUUAGGAUUCGGCGUUUUCACCGCCGCGGCCCGGGUUUGAUUCCCGAUCAGGGAAUACACUCUUUGAACAUCUGGUGUCCUCUCUGUAUAGUGAAGCUUAGUCACGGUGGGGGUGCCAUGUCAGGCUUGUGGCUUUGAUGAAAAAGGACAUUGACAGUGCUCUUCCACAUUGUCCCCCAUAUCUCAAAAAAUACAACUUACUGUACAUGUACAAUGACACCUUUGUACACUACCGUAUCUUGCCAGUUUAGAGACCUCGUAUUUUGGCACACUGUAUUGCAGCCCUUCCAAAAAAGAUUCAUAUCCAAACUGAGGCCUUAAGAGCAACUGCUUUGAACGCAACCUCAUUCAACUGCAUACAAAGAUAUAUCAAAUUCAAAGAUCCUCUAGAAAAAACAUGACCAACUCCCUGGUGGUCUAGUGGUUAGGAUUCGGCGCUCUCACCGCCGCGGCCCGGGUUCGAUUGCUGGUCAGGGAAUACACUCUUUGAACAUCUGGUGUCCUCUCUGUAUAGUAAAAAUUGGUCACUGUGGGGGUGCCAUGUCAGGCUUGUGGCUUUGAUGAAAAAGGACAUUGUCAGUGCUCUUCCAUGUUGUCCCCCAUAUCUCAAAAAAUACAACUUACUGUACAUGUACAAUGACACCUUUGUGCACUACUGUAUCUUGCCAUUUUAGAGACCUUGUAUUUUGGCACACUGUAUUGCAGCCCUCCCAAAAAAAAUUCAUAUCCAAACUGAGGCCUUAAGAGCGAAAGCUUUGAUUGCAACCUCAUUCGACUGCAUACAAAGAUAUAUCAAAUUCACAGAUGCUCUAGAAAAAACAUGACCAACUCCCUGGUGGUCUAGUGGUUAGGAUUCGGCGCUCUCACCGCCGCGGCCCGGGUUCGAUUCCCGGUCAGGGAAUACACUCUUUGAACAUCUGGUGUCCUCUCUGUAUAGUGAAGCUUGGUCACGGUGGGGGUGCCAUGUCAGGCUUGUGGCUUUGAUGAAAAAGGACAUUGUCAGUGCUCUUCCACGUUGUCCCCCAUAUCUCAAAAAAUACAACUUACUGUACAUGUACAAUGACACCUUUGUACACUACCGUAUCUUGCCAGUUUAGAGACCUCGUAUUUUGGCACACUGUAUUGCAGCCCUCCCAAAAAAGAUUCAUAUCCAAACUGAGGCCUUAAGAGCAACUGCUUUUAACACAACCUCAUUCGACUGCAUACAAAGAUAUAUCAAAUUCACAGAUGCUCUAGAAAAAACAUGACCAACUCCCUGGUGGUCUAGUGGUUAGGAUUCGGCGUUUUCACCGCCGCGGCCCGGGUUCGAUUCCCGGUCAGGGAAUACACUCUUUGAACAUCUGGUGUCCUCUCUGUAUAGUGAAGCUUGGUCACGGUGGGGGUGCCAUGUCAGGCUUGUGGCUUUGAUGAAAAAGGACAUUGUCAGUGCCCUUCCACGUUGUCCCCCAUAUCUCAAAAAAUACAACUUACUGUACAUGUACAAUGACACCUUUGUACACUGUUGUAUCUUGCCAGUUUAGAGACCUUGUAUUUUGGCACACUGUAUUGCAGCCCUCCCAAAAAAGAUUCAUAUCCAAACUGAGGCCUUAAGAGCAACUGCUUUGAACACAACCUCAUUCGACUGCAUACAAAGAUAUAUCAAAUUCACAGAUGCUCUAGAAAAAACAUGACCAACUCCCUGGUGGUCUAGUGGUUAGGAUUCGGCGUUUUCACCGCCGCGGCCCGGGUUCGAUUGCUGGUCAGGGAAUACAGUCUUUGAACAUCUGGUGUCCUCUCUGUAUAGUGAAGCUUGGUCACGGUGGGGGUGCCAUGUCAGGCUUGUGGCUUUGAUGAAAAAGGACAUUGUCAGUGCUCCUCCAAAUUGUCCCCCAUAUCUCAAAAAAUACAACUUACUGUACAUGUACAAUGACACCUUUGUGCACUACUGUAUCUUGCCAGUAUACAGACCGUGUAUUUUGGCACACUGUAUUGCAGCCCUCCCAAAAAAGAUUCAUAUCCAAACUGAGGCCUUAAGAGCAACUGCUUUGAACACAACCUCAUUCGACUGCAAACAAAGAUAUAUCAAAUUCACAGAUGCUCUAGAAAAAACAUGACCAACUCCCUGGUGGUCUAGUGUUUAGGAUUCGGCGCUCUCACCGCCGCGGCCCGGGUUCGAUUCCCGGUCAGGGAAUACACUCUUUGAACAUCUGGUGUCCUCUCUGAAUACUGAAGCUUGGUCACGGUGGGGGUGCCAUGUCAGGCUUGUGGCUUUGAUGAAAAAGGACAUUGUCAGUUCUCUUCCACGUUGUCACCCAAAUCUCAAAAAAUACAACUUACUGUACAUGUACAAUGACACCUAUGUACACUACUGUAUCUUGCCACUUUAGAGACCUCAUAUUUUGGCACACUGUAUUGCAGCCCUCCCAAAAAAGAUUCAUAUCCAAACUGAGGCCUUAAGAGCAACUGCUUUGAACACAACCUCAUUCGACUGCAUACAAAGAUAUAUCAAAUUCACAGAUGCUCUAGAAAACCCAUGACCAACUCCCUGGUGGUCUAGUGGUUAGGAUUCGGCGUUUUCACCGCCGCGGCCGGGGUUCGAUUCCCGGUCAGGGAAUACACUCUUUGAACAUCUGGUGUCCUCUCUGUAUAGUGAAGCUUGGUAACGAUGGGGGUGCCAUGUCAGGCUUGUGGCUUUGAUGAAAAAGGACAUUCACAGUGCUCUUCCACAUUGACCCCCAUAUCUCAAAAAAUACAACUUACUGUACAUGUACAAUGACACCUUUGUACACUACCGUAUCUUGCCAGUGUAGAGACCUCGUAUUUUGGCACACUGUAUUGCAGCCCUUCCAAAAAAGAUUCAUAUCCAAACUGAGGCCUUAAGAGCAACUGCUUUGAACACAACCUCAUUCGACUGCAUACAAAGAUAUAUCAAAUUCAAAGAUCCUCUAGAAAAAACAUGACCAACUCCCUGGUGGUCUAGUGGUUAGGAUUCGGUGCUCUCACCGCCGCGGCCCGGGUUCGAUUCCCGGUCAGGGAAUACACUCUUUGAACAUCUGGUGUCCUCUCUGUAUAGUGAAAAUUGGUCACGGUGGGUGUGCCAUGUCAGGCUUGUGGCUUUGAUGAAAAAGGAAAUUGUCAGUGCAUUUCCACGUUGUCCCCCAUAUCUCAAAAAAUACAACUUACUGUACAUGUACAAUGACACCUUUGUGCACUACUGUAUCUUGCCAGUUUAGAGACCUUGUAUUUUGGCACACUGUAUUGCAGCCCUCCCAAAAAAGAUUCAUAUCCAAACUGAGGCCUUAAGAGCGAAAGCUUUGAAUGCAACCUCAUUCGACUGCAAACAAAGAUAUAUCAAAUUCACAGAUGCUCUAGAAAAAACAUGACCAACUCCCUGGUGGUCUAGUGGUUAGGAUUCGGCGCUCUCACCGCCGCGGCCCGGGUUCGAUUCCCGGUCAGGGAAUACACUCUUUGAACAUCUGGUGUCCUCUCUGUAUAGUGAAGCUUGGUCGCGGUGGGGGUGCCAUGUCAGGCUUGUGGCUUUGAUGAAAAAGGACAUUGUCAGUGCUCUUCCACGUUGUCCCCCAUGUCUCAAAAAAUACAACUUACUGUACAUGUACAAUGACACCUUUGUACACUAACGUAUCUUGCCAGUUUAGAGACCUCGUAUUUUGGCACACUGUAUUGCAGCCCUCCCAAAAAAGAUUCCUAUCCAAACUGAGGCCUUAAGAGCAACUGCUUUUAACACAACCUCAUUCGACUGCAUACAAAGUGUUGAGAUGUGCUCUCAUUUCAUUUUUGUUUCUAGACAUCAUUCUUUUUGUCACUACCUUGUCAAUCUAGACGUCAUGUCAUGUGAUCCUAAUCAGUGAAUUGGUCACAGGUAUGCUGUCUCUAAUUAAAACAGCUGAGCCCGUGCGUGCGCGUUGGCUCACUCAGAGAGAAACACUCGUGUGUUAUGUGUGUUUUUUCGCUAAACGUUGUGCAGGAAAAACCCACUCUGCUAACACAAAGAUAUAUCAAAUUCACAGAUGCUCUAGAAAAAACAUGACCAACUCCCUGGUGGUCUAGUGGUUAGGAUUCGGCGUUUUCACCGCCGCGGCCCGGGUUCGAUUCCCGGUCAGGGAAUACACUCUUUGAACAUCUGCUGUCCUCUCUGAAUACUGAAGCUUGGUCACGGUGGGGGUGCCAUGUCAGGCUUGUGGCUUUGAUGAAAAAGGACAUUGUCAGUGCUCUUCCACGUUGUCACCCAAAUCUCAAAAAAUACAACUUACUAUACAUGUACAAUGACACCUAUGUACACUACUGUAUCUUGCCACUUUACAGACCUCAUAUUUUGGCACACUGUAUUGCAGCCCUCCCAAAAAAGAUUCAUAUCCAAACUGAGGCCUUAAGAGCAACUGCUUUGAACACAACCUCAUUUGACUGCAUACAAAGAUAUAUCAAAUUCACAGAUGCUCUAGAAAACCCAUGACCAACUCCCUGGUGGUCUAGUGGUUAGGAUUCGGCGUUUUCACCGCCGCGGCCCGGGUUCGAUUCCCGGUCAGGGAAUACACUCUUUGAAAAUCUGGUGUCCUCUCUGUAUAGUGAAGCUUGGUCACGGUGGGGGUGCCAUGUCAGGCUUGUGGCUUUGAUGAAAAAGGACAUUGACAGUGCUCUUCCACAUUGUCCCCCAUAUCUCAAAAAAUACAACUUACUGUACAUGUACAAUGACACCUUUGUACACUACCGUAUCUUGCCAGUUUAGAGACCUCGUAUUUUGGCACACUGUAUUGCAGCCCUUCCAAAAAAGAUUCAUAUCCAAACUGAGGCCUUAAGAGCAACUGCUUUGAACACAACCUCAUUCGACUGCAUACAAAGAUAUAUCAAAUUCAAAGAUGCUCUAGAAAAAACAUGACCAACUCCCUGGUGGUCUAGUGGUUAGGAUUCGGCGCUCUCACCGCCGCGGCCCGGGUUCGAUUCCCGGUCAGGGAAUACACUCUUUGAACAUCUGGUGUCCUCUCUGUAUACUGAAAAUUGGUCACGGUGGGGGUGCCAUGUCAGGCUUGUGGCUUUGAUGAAAAAGGACAUUGUCAGUGCUCUUCCACGUUGUCCCCCAUAUCUCAAAAAAUACAACUUACUGUACAUGUACAAUGACACCUUUGUGCACUACUGUAUCUUGCCAGUUUAGAGACCUUGUAUUUUGGCACACUGUAUUGCAGCCCUCCCCAAAAAAAUUCAUAUCCAAACUGAGGCCUUAAGAGCGAAAGCUUUGAAUGCAACCUCAUUCGACUGCAUACAAAGAUAUAUCAAAUUCACAGAUGCUCUAGAAAAAACAUGACCAACUCCCUGGUGGUCUAGUGGUUAGGAUUCGGCGCUCUCACCGCCGCGGCCCGGGUUCGAUUCCCGGUCAGGGAAUACACUCUUUGAACAUCUGGGGCCUCAUGUAUCAACACUUGCGUGGAACUCAUACCAGAAACGAGCGCACGCAAGGUCCGUCACGCUGAAAAAAAUCCGUAUGUAUCAAUGUGUGCGGGCGCCGAAAUCCACGUGUGUUUCCUUGAUAAAUCCCAAUCAGCGUGGAAUUGAGCGCAGAUGUCGGAGUGACUGGGCCCGUCCCCGUUACGCCCUCCUAUAAAUAUGCAGAUUUAUUUAAAUAGGGUCUCCCUGUCCUCGCACGCAGACAAAAUGACAAGAAAAACUACAUUUACGGCGUGCGAGGUGGAGGUGCUGGUGGCGGAGGUGGAGGAGCGACAGCGUGUUUUGUUUGGCAGCCUGUCCAGUGGCGUCAGUGCAAAACAAAAACGCUUGGAGUGGGAGAAAGUUUGCGAGAGGGUGAAUGCGGUGGGUUCCGAGACACGCACCCCCGCGGAGAUUAAAAAAAAGUGGUCGGACCUCAAGGUGGAGGUCAAGCGGCGUACAGCUGCCCUCCGGAGGAGUACCGGCCAGACAGGUGGGGGUCCGGGGGAGGAGACCCUCACACCGUUUGAGCAGCGGGUGGUGGCGAUUAUUAUUAUAGGGUAAGUGGCGUGUCACACAAAUGUCCACAUGCUUUGUCAUCCCACUGAGCAAAAGACGUAUAUUAGACGUCUAGUCUAAGUUUAUACUUCAUUUCAACGUCGGGAUUCAGUCUAUUUUUAGACGUGAUUUAUACUUCGCCCUUAACUUCAUUUUUCAAUAACUUUUUAUGCAAUAAACAACUGUAAUGUGCAUAACUGACCUCGAAAUACUGGAUUACAUUACCUAUGAUACUGUGGAGAGAGAUGUAAAUGCAACAGAUACACAGAAGCAGGAAUUGAAAUGAACAAAUAUUUUUAUUGUGUCACAGAAAUUAAUGUGUCGGCCGUGUCGCCGGCUUGCGGAACCCCGGCCCGCGGCAGCCCGUCCGCCGGCUCGGAGUCGUCGGCCAGGACCAGCGGCAUUCGGGCCACCCCGGCCCCAGCACCAGCAUCAGCACCAGCGCGCCGACAAGCGGUGGAGCGUCCACCAGCCGCGGCGCUUCCGCUGGACCACCCGGACGCAGUGGAAGGGUCCUCGCGGAGGGGGUCCUGCAAUCGCAGGAAGAAAUCAUCAGGGGGAUCGCGGGGAUCAACGAGCGGCUGGACCGGCUCGUAAAUUUCCUCGAGCGUCUGGUGGAGAAAAUAAAUUAAUUUGGCUCAUUGAACUGUGUAUUCACUUCUUACCCAUUCACACUGUGGCGAUGAGAUUCUCCCGCGCGAGGACGGCGGCCCGGCAGGGAUCAGCUCACAUCCCUCCGUCUGCUGCUGGUUCGUCAUGUGGGGCGACGUGCUGCCCGGCCACGGGGAUGUGGUGCACGCUUGUCACAUAGUGAGUCACCAAACACCGCCACACAGCGUCGCCAAAGUGCAAAUCACAGUCAACGCAAAUAUCCAGCUCAACGCCAAUUUCUACACCACCUCCUGACUUUGCGUUGAUUAGCGCUGGAACCGACGCUCGUUUCGCGAUGAUAAAUCUGGACGUGUGCGCCGAUUUUGGCGUACGCAAGGUUUUCUUGCGCCGCAAGCGUUGAUACAUGAGGCCCCUGGUGUCCUCUCUAUAUAGUGAAGCUUGGUCACGGUGGGGGUGCCAUGUCAGGCUUGUGGCUUUGAUGAAAAAGGACAUUGUCAGUGCUCUUCCACGUUGUCCCCCAUAUCUCAAAAAAUACAACUUACUGUACAUGUACAAUGACACCUUUGUACACUACCGUAUCUUGCCAGUUUAGAGACCUCGUAUUUUGGCACACUGUAUUGCAGCCCUCCCAAAAAAGAUUCAUAUCCAAACUGAGGCCUUAAGAGCAACUGCUUUUAACACAACCUCAUUCGACUGCAUACAAAGAUAUAUCAAAUUCACAUAUGCUCUAGAAAAAACAUGACCAACUCCCUGGUGGUCUAGUGGUUAGGAUUCGGCGCUCUCACCGCCACGGCCCGGGUUUGAUUCCCGGUCAGGGAAUACACUCUUUGAACAUCUGGUGUCCUCUCUGUAUAGUGAAGCUUGGUCACGGUGGGGGUGCCAUGUCAGGCUUGUGGCUUUGAUGAAAAAGGACAUUGUCAGUGCUCUUCCACGUUGUCCCCCAUAUCUCAAAAAAUACAACUUACUGUACAUGUACAAUGACACCUUUGUACACUACCGUAUCUUGCCAGUUUAGAGACCUUGUAUUUUGGCACACUGUAUUGCAGCCCUCCCAAAAAAGAUUCAUAUCCAAACUGAGGCCUUAAGAGCAACUGCUUUUAACACAACCUCAUUCGACUGCAUACAAAGAUAUAUCAAAUUCACAGAUGCUCUAGAAAAAACAUGACCAACUCCCUGGUGGUCUAGUGGUUAGGAUUCGGCGUUUUCACCGCCGCGGCCCGGGUUCGAUUCCCGGUCAGGGAAUACACUCUUUGAACAUCUGGUGUCCUCUCUGUAUAGUGAAGCUUGGUCACGGUGGGGGUGCCAUGUCAGGCUUGUGGCUUUGAUGAAAAAGGACAUUGUCAGUGCCCUUCCACGUUGUCCCCCAUAUCUCAAAAAAUACAACUUACUGUACAUGUACAAUGACACGUUUGUACACUGUUGUAUCUUGCCGGUUUAGAGACCUUGUAUUUUGGCACACUGUAUUGCAGCCCUCCCAAAAAAGAUUCAUAUCCAAACUGAGGCCUUAAGAGCAACUGCUUUGAACACAACCUCAUUCGACUGCAUACAAAGAUAUAUCAAAUUCACAGAUGCUCUAGAAAAACCAUGACCAACUCCCUGGUGGUCUAGUGGUUAGGAUUCGGCGCUCUCACCGCCGCGGCCAGGUUUCGAUUCCCGGUCAGGGAAUACACUCUUUGAACAUCUGGUGUCCUCUCUGUAUAGUGAAGCUUGGUCACGGUGGGGGUGCCAUGUCAGGCUUGUGGCUUUGAUGAAAAAGGACAUUGUCAGUGCUCUUCCACGUUGUCACCCAAAUCUCAAAAAAUACAACUUACUGUACAUGUACAAUGACACCUUUGUACACUACUGUAUCUUGCCACUUUAGAGACCUCAUAUUUUGGCACACUGUAUUGCAGCCCUCCCAAAAAAGAUUCAUAUCCAAACUGAGGCCUUAAGAGCAACUGCUUUGAACACAACCUCAUUCGACUGCAUACAAAGAUAUAUCAAAUUCACAGAUGCUCUAGAAAACCCAUGACCAACUCCCUGGUGGUCUAGUUGUUAGGAUUCGGCGUUUUCACCGCCGCGGCCCGGGUUCGAUUCCCGGUCAGGGAAUACACUCUUUGAACAUCUGGUGUCCUCUCUGUAUAGUGAAGCUUGGUCACGGUGGGGGUGCCAUGUCAGGCUUGUGGCUUUGAUGAAAAAGGACAUUGACAGUGCUCUUCCACAUUGUCCCCCAUAUCUCAAAAAAUACAACUUACUGUACAUGUACAAUGACACCUUUGUACACUACCGUAUCUUGCCAGUUUAGAGACCUCAUAUUUUGGCACACUGUAUUGCAGCCCUUCCAAAAAAGAUUCAUAUCCAAACUGAGGCCUUAAGAGCAACUGCUUUGAACACAACCUCAUUCGACUGCAUACAAAGAUAUAUCAAAUUCAAAGAUGCUCUAGAAAAAACAUGACCAACUCCCUGGUGGUCUAGUGGUUAGGAUUCGGCGUUUUCACCGCCGCGGCCCGGGUUCGAUUCCCGAUCAGGGAAUACACUCUUUGAACAUCUGGUGUCCUCUCUGUAUAGUGAAGCUUAGUCACGGUGGGGGUGCCAUGUCAGGCUUGUGGCUUUGAUGAAAAAGGACAUUGUCAGUGCUCUUCCACAUUGUCCCCCAUAUCUCAAAAAAUACAACUUACUGUACAUGUACAAUGACACCUUUGUACACUACCGUAUCUUGCCAGUUUAGAGACCUCGUAUUUUGGCACACUGUAUUGCAGCCCUUCCAAAAAAGAUUCAUAUCCAAACUGAGGCCUUAAGAGCAACUGCUUUGAACACAACCUCAUUCGACUGCAUACAAAGAUAUAUCAAAUUCAAAGAUCCUCUAGAAAAAACAUGACCAACUCCCUGGUGGUCUAGUGGUUAGGAUUCGGCGCUCUCACCGCCGCGGCCCGGGUUCGAUUCCCGGUCAGGGAAUACACUCUUUGAACAUCUGGUGUCCUCUCUGUAUAGUAAGCUUGGUCACGGUGGGGGUGCCAUGUCAGGCUUGUGGCUUUGAUGAAAAAGGACAUUGUCAGUGCUCUUCCAUGUUGUCCCCCAUAUCUCAAAAAAUACAACUUACUGUACAUGUACAAUGACACCUUUGUGCACUACUGUAUCUUGCCAGUUUAGAGACCUUGUAUUUUGGCACACUGUAUUGCAGCCCUCCCAAAAAAAUUCAUAUCCAAACUGAGGCCUUAAGAGCGAAAGCUUUGAAUGCAACCUCAUUCGACUGCAUACAAAGAUAUAUCAAAUUCACAGAUGCUCUAGAAAAAACAUGACCAACUCCCUGGUGGUCUAGUGGUUAGGAUUCGGCGCUCUCACCGCCGCGGCCCGGGUUCGAUUCCCGGUCAGGGAAUACACUCUUUGAACAUCUGGUGUCCUCUCUGUAUAGUGAAGCUUGGUCACGGUGGGGGUGCCAUGUCAGGCUUGUGGCUUUGAUGAAAAAGGACAUUGUCAGUGCUCUUCCACGUUGUCCCCCAUAUCUCAAAAAAUACAACUUACUGUACAUGUACAAUGACACCUUUGUACACUACCGUAUCUUGCCAGUUUAGAGACCUCGUAUUUUGGCACACUGUAUUGCAGCCCUCCCAAAAAAGAUUCAUAUCCAAACUGAGGCCUUAAGAGCAACUGCUUUUAACACAACCUCAUUCGACUGCAUACAAAGAUAUAUCAAAUUCACAGAUGCUCUAGAAAAAACAUGACCAACUCCCUGGUGGUCUAGUGGUUAGGAUUCGGCGUUUUCACCGCCGCGGCCCGGGUUCGAUUCCCGGUCAGGGAAUACACUCUUUGAACAUCUGGUGUCCUCUCUGUAUAGUGAAGCUUGGUCACGGUGGGGGUGCCAUGUCAGGCUUGUGGCUUUGAUGAAAAAGGACAUUGUCAGUGCCCUUCCACGUUGUCCCCCAUAUCUCAAAAAAUACAACUUACUGUACAUGUACAAUGACACCUUUGUACACUGUUGUAUCUUGCCAGUUUAGAGACCUUGUAUUUUGGCACACUGUAUUGCAGCCCUCCCAAAAAAGAUUCAUAUCCAAACUGAGGCCUUAAGAGCAACUGCUUUGAACACAACCUCAUUCGACUGCAUACAAAGAUAUAUCAAAUUCAAAGAUGCUCUAGAAAAAACAUGACCAACUCCCUGGUGGUCUAGUGGUUAGGAUUCGGCGUUUUCAACGCCGCGGCCCGGGUUCGAUUCCCGGUCAGGGAAUACACUCUUUGAACAUCUGGUGUCCUCUCUGUAUAGUGAAGCUUGGUCACGGUGGGGGUGCCAUGUCAGGCUUGUGGCUUUGAUGAAAAAGGACAUUGUCAGUGCUCUUCCAAAUUGUCCCCCAUAUCUCAAAAAAUACAACUUACUGUACAUGUACAAUGACACCAUUUUGCACUACUGUAUCUUGCCAGUUUAGAGACCUUGUAUUUUGGCACACUGUAUUGCAGCCCUCCCAAAAAAAAUUCAUAUCCAAACUGAGGCCUUAAGAGCGAAAGCUUUGAAUGCAACCUCAUUCGACUGCAUACAAAGAUAUAUCAAAUUCACAGAUGCUCUAGAAAGAACAUGACCAACUCCCUGGUGGUCUAGUGGUUAGGAUUCGGCGCUCUCACCGCCGCGGCCCGGUUUCGAUUCCCGGUCAGGGAAUACACUCUUUGAACAUCUGGUGUCCUCUCUGUAUAGUGAAGCUUGGUCACGGUGAGGGUGCCAUGUCAGGCUUGUGGCUUUGAUGAAAAAGGACAUUGUCAGUGCUCUUCCACGUUGUCCCCCAUAUCUCAAAAAAUACAACUUACUGUACAUGUACAAAGACACCUUUGUACACUACCGUAUCUUGCCAGUUUACAGACCUCGCAUUUUGGCACACUGUAUUGCAGCCCUCCCAAAAAAGAUUCAUAUCCAAACUGAGGCCUUAAGAGCAACUGCUUUUAACACAACCUCAUUCGACUGCAUACAAAGAUAUAUCAAAUUCACAGAUGCUCUAGAAAAAACAUGACCAACUCCCUGGUGGUCUAGUGGUUAGGAUUCGGCGCUCUCACCGCCGCGGCCCGGGUUCGAUUCCCGGUCAGGGAAUACACUCAUUGAACAUCUGGUGUCCUCUCUGUAUAGUGAAGCUUGGUCACGGUGGGGGUGCCAUGUCAGGCUUGUGGCUUUGAUGAAAAAGGACAUUGUCAGUGCUCUUCCAAAUUGUCCCCCAUAUCUCAAAAAAUACAACUUACUGUACAUGUACAAUGACACCUUUGUGCACUACUGUAUCUUGCCAGUAUAGAGACCUUGUAUUUUGGCACACUGUAUUGCAGCCCUCCCAAAAAAGAUUCAUAUCCAAACUGAGGCCUUAAGAGCAACUGCUUUGAACACAACCUCAUUCGACUGCAAACAAAGAUAUAUCAAAUUCACAGAUGCUCUAGAAAAAACAUGACCAACUCCCUGGUGGUCUAGUGGUUAGGAUUCGGCGCUCUCACCGCCGCGGCCCGGGUUCGAUUCCCGGUCAGGGAAUACACUCUUUGAACAUCUGCUGUCCUCUCUGAAUACUGAAGCUUGGUCACGGUGGGGGUGCCAUGUCAGGCUUGUGGCUUUGAUGAAAAAGGACAUUGUCAGUUCUCUUCCACGUUGUCACCCAAAUCUCAAAAAAUACAACUUACUGUACAUGUACAAUGACACCUAUGUACACUACUGUAUCUUGCCACUUUAGAGACCUCAUAUUUUGGCACACUGUAUUGCAGCCCUCCCAAAAAAGAUUCAUAUCCAAACUGAGGCCUUAAGAGCAACUGCUUUGAACACAACCUCAUUCGACUGCAUACAAAGAUAUAUCAAAUUCACAGAUGCUCUAGAAAACCCAUGACCAACUCCCUGGUGGUCUAAUGGUUAGGAUUCGGCGUUUUCACCGCCGCGGCCGGGGUUCGAUUCCCGGUCAGGUAAUACACUCUUUGAACAUCUGGUGUCCUCUCUGUAUAGUGAAGCUUGGUAACGAUGGGGGUGCCAUGUCAGGCUUGUGGCUUUGAUGAAAAAGGACAUUCACAGUGCUCUUCCACAUUGACCCCCAUAUCUCAAAAAAUACAACUUACUGUACAUGUACAAUGACACCUUUGUACACUACCGUAUCUUGCCAGUGUAGAGACCUCGUAUUUUGGCACACUGUAUUGCAGCCCUUCCAAAAAAGAUUCAUAUCCAAACUGAGGCCUUAAGAGCAACUGCUUUGAACACAACCUCAUUCGACUGCAUACAAAGAUAUAUCAAAUUCAAAGAUCCUCUAGAAAAAACAUGACCAACUCCCUGGUGGUCUAGUGGUUAGGAUUCGGUGCUCUCACCGCCGCGGCCCGGGUUCGAUUCCCGGUCAGGGAAUACACUCUUUGAACAACUGGUGUCCUCUCUGUAUAGUGAAAAUUGGUCACGGUGGGUGUGCCAUGUCAGGCUUGUGGCUUUGAUGAAAAAGGAAAUUGUCAGUGCUCUUCCACGUUGUCCCCCAUAUCUCAAAAAAUACAACUUACUGUACAUGUACAAUGACACCUUUCUGCACUACUGUAUCUUGCCAGUUUAGAGACCUUGUAUUUUGGCACACUGUAUUGCAGCCCUCCCAAAAAAGAUUCAUAUCCAAACUGAGGCCUUAAGAGCGAAAGCUUUGAAUGCAACCUCAUUCGACUGCAAACAAAGAUAUAUCAAAUUCACAGACGCUCCAGAAAAAAAUGAUGAACUCCCUGGUGGUCUAGUGGUUAGGAUUCGGCGUUUUCACCGCCGCGGCCCGGGUUCGAUUCCCGGUCAGGGAAUACACUCUUUGAACAUCUGCUGUCCUCUCUGUAUAGUGAAGCUUGGUCACGGUGGGGGUGCCAUGUCAGGCUUGUGGCUUUGAUGAAAAAGGACAUUGUCAGUGCUCUUCCACGUUGUCACCCAAAUCUCAAAAAAUACAACUUACUGUACAUGUACAAUGACACCUUUGUACACUGUUGUAUCUUGCCAGUUUAGAGACCUUAUUUUGGCACACUGUAUUGCAGCCCUCCCAAAAAAGAUUCAUAUCCAAACUGAGGCCUUAAGAGCAACUGCUUUGAACACAACCUCAUUCGACUGCAUACAAAGAUAUAUCAAAUUCACAGACGCUCCAGAAAAAAAUGAUGAACUCCCUGGUGGUCUAGUGGUUAGGAUUCGGUGUUUUCACCGACACGGCCCGGGUUCGAUUCCCGGUCAGGGAAUACACUCUUUGAACAUCUGCUGUCCUCUCUGUAUAGUGAAGCUUGGUCACGGUGGGGGUGCCAUGUCAGGCUUGUGGCUUUGAUGAAAAAGGACAUUGUCAGUGCUCUUCCACGUUGUCACCCAAAUCUCAAAAAAUACAACUUACUGUACAUGUACAAUGACACCUUUGUACACUGUUGUAUCUUGCCAGUUUACAGACCGCUUAUUUUGGCACACUGUAUUGCAGCCCUCCCAAAAAAGAUUCAUAUCCAAACUGAGGCCUUAAGAGCAACUGCUUUGAACACAACCUCAUUCGACUGCAUACAAAGAUAUAUCAAAUUCACAGACGCUCCAGAAAAAAAAUGAUGAACUCCCUGGUGGUCUAGUGGUUAGGAUUCGGUGUUUUCACCGACACGGCCCGGGUUCGAUUCCCGCUCAGGGAAUACACUCUUUGAACAUCUGCUGUCCUCUCUGUAUAGUGAAGCUUGGUCACUGUGGGGGUGCCAUGUCAGGCUUGUGGCUUUGAUGAAAAAGGACAUUGUCAGUGCUCUUCCAUGUUGUCCCCCAUACCUCAAAAAAUACAAAUUAUUGUGAAUGUACAAUGACACCUUUGUCAACAACUUUAUCUUGCCAGUUUAGUGACCGCUUUUUUUGGCACACUGUAUUGCAGCCCUCCCAUAAAAAAAAAUCAGACCCAAACUGAGGCCUUUAGAGUAACUGCUUUGAACACAACCUCAUUCGACUGCAUUCAAAGAUAUAUCAAAUUCACAGAUGCUCUAGGAAAAACAUGAGCAAUUUCCUGCUGGUCUAGUGGUUACGAUUCGGCGCUCUCACCGCCGCGGCUCGGGUUCGAUUCCCGGUCAGGGAAUAUGCACUUUGAACAUCUGGUGUCCUCUCCGUAUAGUGAAGCUUGGUCACGGUGGGGGUGCCAUGUCAGGCUUGUGGCUUUGAUGAAAAAGGACAUUGUCAGUGCUCUUCCACGUUGUCCCCCAUAUCUCAAAAAAUACAACUUACUGUACAUGUACAAUGACACCUUUGUACACUACCGUAUCUUGCCAGUUUAGAGACCUCGUAUUUUGGCACACUGUAUUGCAGCCCUCCCAAAAAAGAUUCAUAUCCAAACUGAGGCCUUAAGAGCAACUGCUUUUAACACAACCUCAUUCGACUGCAUACAAAGAUAUAUCAAAUUCACAGAUGCUCUAGAAAAAAAUGAUGAACUCCCUGGUGGUCUAGUGGUUAGGAUUCGGCGCUCUCACCGCCGCGGCCCGGGUUCGAUUCCCGGUCAGGGAAUACACUCUUUGAACAUCUGGUGUCCUCUCUGUAUAGUGAAGCUUGGUCACGGUGGGGGUGCCAUGUCAGGCUUGUGGCUUUGAUGAAAAAGGACAUUGUCAGUGC
rnacentral:lncRNA from 1 species